GAUUAGCAGAAGGGUGGGAGUGUUGGGGCAAGCCCAUGUGGUGUCAUACAGCGAGGCAUACUCUCCACAGUCCGGACACUUGUGGCAGUACAAGAAAUUCACACACCCGGUUCUGACACUACAGAAUGAAGCUCCCGCUUUACCGAGCAUUUUUUUUCAUCACAUGGGCGCACUUCGCCUCUUGCACAACACCGUGCAAGGAUUCCUGCAUACGAGAAUGGUGCCCAGCGCAUAGGGAUCCAGCAACCAACGAAGCAAUUAGUGAUGCCGGUGUUGAUCCAGAGAUUGUGUUGAUUUUGGAGGAGCGAA